UUCCGGGAAGGCAGCUGAUCGCGGAAAAGGGGCUCGACGAUGAAUUCUGGAGGGAAUCUGUCCCCUUUGACAGAUGAACCAAUGACAACACAACCUUUUAGUUUACUUCUGGGUUUUAUUAAAUUUCCACUAGGGGCGCUAUCAGCGCAAAUGUACAAAGUCGAUAAUGCAGGCAAAAUACAAGGUUAUGUCUUCAAGAGGCAAAUGUCAAGAGUUGUUUUGGUUUUGUGGUGAUGUGGUAGUGAUCGUGACGGCGGACUUUCCUGGACUAUCAGAGGGUUUUGCUGGAGGGUAUACAGCGGUGACAAAGCCAACAGCUGGAGCAAGAAGAUCCUCCUUGGCGUAGAGGACAGGGUGGUUAGGCAACUCUCUCAAGGGCCCCCGUGGGGGUGGGUUUAUCCCAGCACAGCCAAUGCCUUCUGUCUCAAGGCCAGAGGCUUCUACGAGCUGCUUCCGGUGAUGGUGUCGCGGCUUAGCUCGUGUCAACAGCCUACUUGGGGCCGAGGUUACUCCCGGACGAAAUGAGGGUGGCCAAAAUGCAGGUGAACACCAGUAUAGGGUGUCUUGGGUGCAACACAACCUCUACGUGGCAACAGACUUCACGGAGAUGCUGCCCCAGACCAGAGGGUUCACCAGGGCACGUAAUCCCUCACGCAACGUCUGCAGGGAGAUCAGGCUUCUGGCUUUUCCAGACUACACUCUCAGGGAGUCCGGAUCUUUCACCGCACGGGGUCGCCCGAGAAAAGGGAAAUCACUGCUGGAGUUCGAUCCUCGAGCACCGCAAAACCCACAAGGGAAGGAAAGGUCCAAGAUUCUAGUCAAAGUGGAGCUUUGACGGGCUUCAGAAUUUUCCCGCAGGGUGCGAAAUUCUUGCAGAAACCCAUCGUACCUCUCCAUCCUGUCCGUGAGCCACUCCUUCAAUCCGUCCAAUACCUGGCUGGUCUCAGCUGCCUCCAUACUCGCAAGUGGUCAGGCAAAUCCCACUUCUGACACCAGUGUUGUGGAUGGGACUUCCGGGAAGGCAGCUGAUCGCGGAAAAGGGGCUCGACGAUGAAUUCUGGAGGGAAUCUGUCCCCUUUGACAGAUGAACCAAUGACAACACAACCUUUUAGUUUACUUCUGGGUUUUAUUAAAUUUCCACUAGGGGCGCUAUCAGCGCAAAUGUACAAAGUCGAUAAUGCAGGCAAAAUACAAGGUUAUGUCUUCAAGAGGCAAAUGUCAAGAGUUGUUUUGGUUUUGUGGUGAUGUGGUA